rnacentral:lncRNA from 1 species
GGCCUUGCUAUAUAGUUUGGGCUGGUCUUAAACUCACUCUGAAGCCCAGACUAGCCCCAAACUUGGGCAGUCCUCCUGCCUCAGCCUCUGACGUCCUGGGACUACAGACACGCACCAUCACACUCAGCUCAUUUUUCUUUUCUUAACUAGGUGAAUUAGACCAUGAAUGUCUGAAAUUUCUAACUAUGAAAGAAAAGCACUUUGAAUGAUGAAAGAUACAGAAUACAAAAUUUCCCACAGAGUAAAGCCUUCCUUCCAGUGCAGUCACUUCUGAGGUUUUUGUGUUUUAGCAUCUUUUUCCUUUCUAUCCACUUUUUUUCUACAUUUGUCUCCAUCUCUUUUCUACUUUAUUUUUUAGAGAUCUAAAGAUUCUGUAGAAUCUUCCAAAGGAAGAGUGCUUUAUGCAUUCUAAGGUUCAUUCAUAGGUAAUCACAGAAAAUGGUUUUUUAACCUAUAAAUAAGUUCCAUAUCAAAAAAGAAUAUAAAUUUUUCAUGUAACUUCAUGCAUAGUGAAAAUAGAGAUAAUUUUAAUUCCAUUUCAUUUUUCAGAAUUCUUAAUCAUAAUCCUCUGACAACUAUUGAAGGUUCAUCUCUUUUUAAAUUACCGGCAUUAAAAUAUCUAGACCUGGGACAAACACACGUGUCACUUACAGCGAUUGAGAACAUCCUCGCAAAGGC